rnacentral:rRNA from 1 species
UACAGAGGUCUCAAGCGUUGUUCGGAAUCACUGGGCGUAAAGGGUGCGUAGGCCGCACGGUAAGUCAGAGGUGAAAUCCCGGAGCUCAACUUCGGAAUUGCCUCCGAUACUGCCGUGCUUGAGGACUGGAGAGGAGAUUGGAAUUCACAGUGGAGCAGUGAAAUGCGUAGAUAUUGUGAGGAGCACUAGUGGCGAAGGCGAAUCUCUGGACAGUUCCUGACGCUGAGGCACGAAGGCCAGGGGAGCAAACGGG